rnacentral:rRNA from 1 species
UACGUAGGGUGCGAGCGUUUGUCCGGAAUUAUUGGGCGUAAAGAGCUUGUAGGCGGUCUGUCGCGUCUGCUGUGAAAAUCCGGGGCUCAACCCCGGACUUGCAGUGGGUACGGGCAGACUAGAGUGUGGUAGGGGAGACUGGAAUUCCUGGUGUAGCGGUGAAAUGCGCAGAUAUCAGGAGGAACACCGAUGGCGAAGGCAGGUCUCUGGGCCACUACUGACGCUGGAGGAGCGAAAGCGUGGGGAGCGAACAGG